rnacentral:siRNA from 1 species
UGUACUCAAGUUCGCGCCUCUUCC